rnacentral:rRNA from 1 species
GACGAACGCUGGCGGCGUGCUUAACACAUGCAAGUCGAACGGAAAGGCCCUGCUUUUGUGGGGUGCUCGAGUGGCGAACGGGUGAGUAACACGUGAGUAACCUGCCCUUGACUUUGGGAUAACUUCAGGAAACUGGGGCUAAUACCGGAUAGGAGCUCCUGCUGCAUGGUGGGGGUUGGAAAGUUUCGGCGGUUGGGGAUGGACUCGCGGCUUAUCAGCUUGUUGGUGGGGUAGUGGCUUACCAAGGCUUUGACGGGUAGCCGGCCUGAGAGGGUGACCGGGCACAUGGGGACUGAGAUACGGGCCAGACUCCUACGGGAGGCAGCGGUGGGGAAUAGUGCACAAUGGGCGGAAGCCUGAGGCAGCAACGCCGCGUGCGGGAGGACGGCCUUCGGGUGGUAAACCGCGUUCGCCUGUGACAAAGCGUGAGUGACGGGAAUGGGUAAAGAAGCACCGGCUAACUACGUG